AGUGGGAUAGUUGGGUCAUAUGGUGUUUCCAUCCAUAGUUUUUGAGUAAUCUCCAUAUUUUUUUCCAGAGUGAUUGUUGUACUAGUCUGCAGUCCCACCAACAAU
rnacentral:pre_miRNA from 1 species